rnacentral:rRNA from 1 species
CCUACGGGAGGCAGCAGUGAGGAAUAUUGGUCAAUGGACGGAAGCCUGAACCAGCCAUUCCGCGUGCAGGAAGACGGCUCUAUGAUUUGUAAACUCCUUUUGUACAAGCGUAAACCUGAAUUCGUGUAUUCAGCUGAAAGUACUGUACUAAUAAGGUUCGGCUAACGCCGUGCCAGCAGCCGCGGUAAUAUGGAGGAUCCAAGCGUUAUCCGGAUUUAAUUGGUGUAAAGGGUGCGUAGGCGGAUUAGUAAGUUAGACGUGAAAUGACCGAGCUUAACUCGGGAACUGCAUGUGAUACUGUUGGUCUAGAGAGUAGAUGCGGGAGGCGGAAUGUAUGGUGUAGCAGUGAAAUGCGUAGAGAUCAUGAAGAACACCGAUUGCGAAGGCAGCUUACUAGUCCAUAUCUGACGUUGAGGCACGAAAGCGUGGGGAGCAAACAGGAUUAGAUACCCCAGUAGUC